rnacentral:lncRNA from 1 species
UUUUGGUGUAUUCAACUUUUGUAUGUUGAACUUGUAAUGUAAAGAAUAAUAAAGAUGUAAACUUUAUUUUGGUUAAAGGUAAAAGUGAUGUAAAUGAUUGGUAAAAGCAGGAAUGUAAAUGUAAUAGUUUAUUUGUGUUUGAUACAAAUGUAAUCAAAUGACUUGUAUGUUAAAUGCUUAGAUAGUUUCGAUGCUUUCACUUAUGUUGUUGUUGUUUGCCCUCGUGCAAACCUUAUAUAUCUUGCAAUUUUCUUGUUGACUUGCUUGUAAUAUACAUGUUGUUGGAGCCUUGGACGGACAGGGGAGGUGCUGUCCGUUCGGCGUCUGUUCGCGUGCCCGAACCGACCAAAUUGGCGGCUCCGGG